UGGGUAACCUGCCCUUAACUCUGGGAUAAGCCUGGGAAACUGGGUCUAAUACCGGAUAUGACUCCUCAUCGCAUGGUGGGGGGUGGAAAGCUUUAUUGUGGUUUUGGAUGGACUCGCGGCCUAUCAGCUUGUUGGUGAGGUAAUGGCUCACCAAGGCGACGACGGGUAGCCGGCCUGAGAGGGCGAUCGGCCACACUGGGACUGAGACACGGCCCAGACUCCUACGGGAGGCAG
rnacentral:rRNA from 1 species